rnacentral:rRNA from 1 species
UGGGGAAUUUUCCGCAAUGGGCGAAAGCCUGACGGAGCAAUACCGCGUGAGGGAGGAAGGCUCUUGGGUUGUAAACCUCUUUUCUCAGGGAAGAACAGAAUGACGGUACCUGAGGAAUAAGCAUCGGCUAACUCCGUGCCAGCAGCCGCGGUAAUACGGAGGAUGCAAGCGUUAUCCGGAAUGAUUGGGCGUAAAGGGUCCGCAGGUGGCAUUGUAAGUCUGCUGUUAAAGAGUUUGGCUCAACCAAAUAAGAGCAGUGGAAACUACAAAGCUAGAGUGUGGUCGGGGCAGAGGGAAUUCCUGGUGUAGCGGUGAAAUGCGUAGAUAUCAGGAAGAACACCAGUGGCGAAGGCGCUCUGCUAGGCCGA